rnacentral:rRNA from 1 species
UAUCUCUGUAGAGUCUGCAUAUCAAUAAGCGGAGGAAAAGAAACUAACUAGGAUUCCCUUAGUAACGGCGAGUGAAGCGGGAAGAGCUCAAAUUUGAAAUCUUCAAGGUUCUACCUUGACGAAUUGUAGUUUAAAGAAGUGUUUUCUGUUGGUGUUUUGGUAAAAGUUCUUUGGAAUAGGACAUCAUAGAGGGUGAGAAUCCCGUAUUUGACCAUUACUUCCAGCGUUGUGAUACACUUUCAAAGAGUCGGAUUGUUUGGGAAUGCAGUCCAAAAUGGGUGGUAAAUUUCAUCUAAAGCUAAAUAUUGGCGAGAGACCGAUAGCGAACAAGUACCGUGAGGGAAAGAUGAAAAGAACUUUGAAAAGAGAGUUAAACAGUACGUGAAAUUGUCAAAAGGGAAGCGUUUGACACCAGUGUUGUUUUCUCGAAAAUCAAUUAAAAAGAGUUGGAUUUUGUAUUGUUAAGACCUUAUCAGCUUACUGUACUUUUUUCUUGCUCUUUUUAAUGCACUUUUCGUUUAACAAGUCAACAUCAAUUUCUUUUGUUGUAAAAGGGUCAUUGGAAGGUGGCUUUCACUUCGGUGAAAGUGUUUAUAGCCUUUGACUCCUACAAUCGGAGAGACUGAGGUCUGCAGCGUAGAUCCUUCGGGAUUAGAUUCAGUUAGAUGCUAAGUUACUACCGUUUUAUAGACAACUUGUUGACUAUGAUUCGAUCCUGUAGCUUACUCGCUUAUGUAUUUUACCUACGCUUAGGAUGUUGACUGAUAUGUAGUCGUA